rnacentral:sRNA from 1 species
UUUUUUUAGUGUUUAAAAUUGUAUAAUUGUAUCAUUCCGUAUUAAUAUCGAUCCAAACCUAUCCCACCAUAUAACCUCGUCCCGUGAAAUUAAACAUCAUUUUAUCAUUUUUUUAUGAAGUUCGAAUAAUUAUAAU